GGUCGUUUGUGGUGUUUAGGCAGACCCAUCAUAAUAUUAUUUACUGUUCAUUUACUGCCCUCUAUCAUUUGUCAUCUACUUCUAGGGUAUAGAAGAAUCUGAGGAUGACUCCCUCCUUGAGCAGCCCAGGACAAGUUUUCCUAUCAGCAUUCGGCCUAGAGUGCAGUCUGAAGACAGCUUCAUCUCAACUUCUACUCACAAAAGCAAACUGUCACUCACACGGUGGUACAGUCAUCCCAAAGUACAGGAGCACAAAGCUGCUGUCAUCGCUUCAUUUCUGCUGCUCUUUAUUGGAAUCGCCCUGAUCAUUGUUGGUGUUGUGUUGGAGGUCAACGUGAAUCGAGAUAUCCAGCCUAUUGUGUUCAUCGUCAUCGGAGCUAUUUGUUUCAUUCCUGGAGUGUACCAUGUUGUGUACAUCUACUGUGCCAUCCAGGGAAGGCCUGGCUUCCACUUCUCCAGUCUGCCCUCGUUUAGGUGAACAACCUGUAGGUCAAGUCUCCUUGCAGAUAACAUAACUAGCAACAGCAAUGACUGUGUAGAAUAUAGUAUGGAGCUAAAACAUUGUCUCAACACAAACAAAACUGUGCAUUGGAGUUUGAACAUUCCUACUGCAGUCUUAGACCGUUGCAGUGGCCUAGCCAAGUCAUACCAAAGAAGUUGUUCCUGCUUUCUAAAUGCUUAGCACUCAGCAUUUGGGGAAGAGGAUGGUAGUUGAACACGCACACCCACACCACUACCAGUGGACUAAAUAGCCCCCAUAUGGCAUGCUGUAGUGAUUGCACAAAGCUGUGUGGCACAAGGGCUAUGGCACCAUGCACUAUGUGACCUUACAAAAAGGACCAGGGAGUUUAUUAUACUGUCUGCUGUCUCUGCAAAGUAAAUGCAUUGCUGACAUCAUGUGUCGAUAAUGUCUUGAAUGACUAGGAAGACUGCAUGCAGUAGAACAAUAAAAAGUAUGUUGCAGGAUGUUUUUGGAUUGGAGCAUAGUGUUAGCUCUAUUCUAUGUUUACUACCAACACAAUCAUAUGAACAGUCAUGUUUACUUUGUAGCUUGUAACAGCUAUUUGUUCAGGCACCUAUGGAUAUCAAUGGCAGUAUUUUCCAUAUAAUGAGGGCUACCCACCUAUAACUUGCAGUUUGCAGAAGAUUUUUUUAGAAUUUUUGAACUUCUAGGUAAAGUUUAUGAAGACAACUUGCUCUGCAGUAAAAAUAAAGUACAGUACAUGUAUUUCCUAUCCUCCAUUUUGAUUACGAUAAAAGACAGUCCUCCAAAUUGACUGAAUACUGAAUAGCAGUACUCAGCAGUGAAUGGUAAGAGUAUAUAGCAAACUCAGGAAGACUGGUGCACAUGUCAGACUACAUCUGUAUUGGGCUUGCAAAAACAAUGUCUUGGGCAAAUAUCGGAGCCUGAAACAAUGAAAAACUGAAUGAAAGAUCAGGACUUUUAAACCACUAUGCAGGAUGUAUGAUCACUUGCUGACUUGUGUGGACUAUCUUUUUACACAAGGAGGAGUUUUACCAUGCACAUGUGAAUGUUUUAGGCAAAAAAGGAACUUUUGAGCAAUUGUUACCCAGCACAGCAGAAAAUGGAGACGGUUAGUAAGAACAACUAAUACAGCAACUGUUAGAUUCAGGUACUAAGAAACAAACAGCUUUUUUUUUAUUUAAGAAAAUAGACAAGAAUAUAAACUAUAACUG